GCUAUCGCCAUUCGUGUGUGCAAGCUAUGUAUCUACGACUUGAAACACUUGAGAUUUAAAUGCUCCUCGAACCUAAAACGUUGAGUUUGUAUUUGUAAAGACGCAUUGAUGACAAUGAGUGGAUGCACAUGAAAGCCACGCGAUUCAAAAUAAAUCUGGUGUCCUUUGUGUAGACAGAAAAACAUGGCAUGGAAAUGGUUCAAUGAUGUAUAUUCUUAAAGAAUAUAAAGCCAAUGUUUAUGUAAUGGUGGAAUAUGAAAAUAUUAAGUAUCCCUGUUGGAGUUCAUUUUGUAGGAGACCAGUAAACAUCUUUGACAAAACUAACUAGUGGAGAUCAUAAGAAUAGUGGGUAUGCAUGCACACGUGAUGAUGAUUAUGAUAGAAAAUGAAAAUCACAAUUCAACCACAAUGAAAAUCACAAUUCAACCACAAACAAAAUAAAUGACAAUUCAACCACAAACACCUUUUCAGUCUAUAUACAUAUAUUCUUGUGAUGAAAAGGUGAAGAAAGGAAAAACAAAUAAAGAAAGUUAAAGGUCUGGGUAACAUUACUGACUUUGAGAUUGAUUAA